rnacentral:rRNA from 1 species
UUGUCUCAAAGAUUAAGCCAUGCAUGUCUCAGUACAAGCCAAAUUAAGGUGAAACCGCGAAAGGCUCAUUAAAUCAGUUAUGGUUCCUUAGAUCGUACAAACAGUUACUUGGAUAACUGUGGUAAUUCUAGAGCUAAUACAUGCAAACAGGGCCCCGACCGGAGACGGAAGGGGUGCUUUUAUUAGAACAAGACCAAUCGGCGGCCGCGGCGUUUCGGCGGUCCGCGCCCGCCGCCCAAAGCUGGCGAAUCUGAAUAACUUUACGCUGAUCGCACGGUCCAGCACCGGCGACGCAUCUUUCAAAUGUCUGCCUUAUCAACUGUCGAUGGUAGGAUCUGCGCCUACCAUGGUUGUAACGGGUAACGGGGAAUCAGGGUUCGAUUCCGGAGAGGGAGCCUGAGAAACGGCUACCACAUCCAAGGAAGGCAGCAGGCGCGCAAAUUACCCACUCCCGGCACGGGGAGGUAGUGACGAAAAAUAACGAUACGGGACUCAUCCGAGGCCCCGUAAUCGGAAUGAGAACACUUUAAAUCCUUUAACGAGGACCAAUUGGAGGGCAAGUCUGGUGCCAGCAGCCGCGGUAACUCCAGCUCCAAUAGCGUAUAUUAAAGUUGUUGCGGUUAAAAAGCUCGUAGUUGAAUUUGUGUUUCGCGCUGUCGGUUCACCGCCCGCGGUGUCAAACUGGCAUGUCGCGGGACGUAUUGUCGGUGGGACCGUCGUGCGUUGGAAAGGCGCGCGUCAAUCCGUCCAUCGUGUCCGGGCGUCCGUACGUGCGGUCGCGUGUCGCUUCGCUCAGGCGGGCGCGCGCGUCUCGCCUGCGGGCCCCGGCUACUCGGUGUGCACGGGUCCGCGUNGUCGGCCCAGCUCGGUCCGGCCCGACUCAAGAAUCCCGUCGCGGUGCUCUUGACUGAGUGUCGCAGCGGGCCGGCACGUUUACUUUGAACAAAUUAGAGUGCUCAAAGCAGGCUCAAAGUUUGCCUGAAUACUGUGUGCAUGGAAUAAUGGAACAGGACCUCGGUUCUAUUUUGUUGGUUUUCGGAACCCCGAGGUAAUGAUUAAUAGGGACAGACGGGGGCAUUCGUAUUGCGACGUUAGAGGUGAAAUUCUUGGACCGUCGCAAGACGGACAGAAGCGAAAGCAUUUGCCAAAGAUGUUUUUCAUUAAUCAAGAACGAAAGUCAGAGGUUCGAAGGCGAUCAGAUACCGCCCUAGUUCUGACCAUAAACGAUGCCAGCUAGCGAUCCGCCGACGUUCCUCCGAUGACUCGGCGGGCAGCUCCCGGGAAACCAAAGCUUUUGGGUUCCGGGGGAAGUAUGGUUGCAAAGCUGAAACUUAAAGGAAUUGACGGAAGGGCACCACCAGGAGUGGAGCCUGCGGCUUAAUUUGACUCAACACGGGAAAUCUCACCAGGCCCGGACACCGGAAGGAUUGACAGAUUGACAGCUCUUUCUUGAUUCGGUGGGUGGUGGUGCAUGGCCGUUCUUAGUUGGUGGAGCGAUUUGUCUGGUUAAUUCCGAUAACGAACGAGACUCUGGCCUGCUAAAUAGGCGUUAAUUUCCGGCAUCUCGAAGGCUCCGUGCCGCGGUCGCGGCCGCCGCGCGCUGCGAUUGGUCGGCCGGCGGACCGUGCGGCUCAGCAUUCACUCGUUGGGUGUUGUGUCGCGCGCCCGUCGGAAAGGCGUUCGUGGCGCCGGCGUGUCCGGCCGUAGGUCGCGGGUUUUUACUGCCGGCGUACAUAUGAAUCUUCUUAGAGGGACAGGCGGCUUCUAGUCGCACGAGAUAGAGCAAUAACAGGUCUGUGAUGCCCUUAGAUGUUCUGGGCCGCACGCGCGCUACACUGAAGGAACCAGCGUGUUUUCCCUGGCCGAGCGGUCCGGGUAACCCGUUGAAACUCUUUCGUGCUAGGGAUUGGGGCUUGCAAUUGUUCCCCAUGAACGAGGAAUUCCCAGUAAGCACGAGUCAUAAGCUCGUGCUGAUUAAGUCCCUGCCCUUUGUACACACCGCCCGUCGCUACUACCGAUUGAAUGAUUUAGUGAGGUCUUCGGACUGGUACGCGGCGGCGUUCCGGCGUCGCCGAUGUCGCUGGGAAGAUGACCGAACUUGAUCAUUU